rnacentral:tRNA from 1 species
UUAGGCGGCAGGCUGUAGUCCUGUUUACAUGGGUUUAAAUCCUGUUUCUAUCA